ACGUGGUGUGCGGGGGCUCGUUUUCUUUUUUGAAGACGGGGCUGGUUUUCUUGGUUUUAUGUGUACGAGCCUGAAGAAACGUUACGUGGAGGUGGGGAGAAAAAAAACCAAGCAGUGGUGGGACGAUGGACGAAAAAAGACCGAUGAACGCCGGCUACUAACUCCCCUUUUAGGAGUAGACAAUACUCCGGAUGCCGGCGUGCCCACCUUCCUGGGUCGCUCAAGGGCAAAAAUAGCAUCCUGGUCGUCCGUUGUCGGGUGGCUCUCGAGGACGAUGUGAACCGUCCGAUCUGCCCAGACGUCUUGCAUCCGGACGACCCGGCUGUAGGGUCCAUGAUGGAUGGACCAUCCGAGCGCCCAUGAUGGAUCAGCCUUGGUCGAACCCGCCUGACAACAUGUUUGCCCCGCGUCGGGCCAAUGCCACCAUGGGCCGCGUCACUUUCCGUUGCUCUCUCGUUCCAUAAAAAUGUGCUACUGAUUUCUAUGCACAAUCAAUUCAAUUCAUGGAAAACAUAAGAGUUUCCCAAACCACUUGCAUCUCAAUUAAACGAAUUAUCUGGGGAAAAAAGCACAUAAGACUUCAAUUUGUGCUCUUACACAUACAAGUUUGAAGUCGAUCCACACAAAUUGCCGGCCUGCUAUCAGGGCGAUCCGGCCAUACUCAAUCGUCCUCAUCGGAGUCUGAGUCUGAGUCUGCUAGUUCUCCCUAAGGUCCCCUCCAAACAAGUAGAUGACAAAUGCGAUCACGGCAGCCGUGAAAGCAUAGACAAGAUAUGUGAAGAAAUAUGCGGGCUCCCGAUCUAAUACCUCAAUUGUCUUGCGGACGACAGGCACUAUGAUCGAAGUGCCAACGAACCAGACUCUGACGGUGAUUUGCCUGACCAUCGACCAGUUGAUGCUCCAGUAGAUGCUUUCCACGCCACCAGUCUUGAUCUUACCGGUGACCAUGUCCUUGACAGUUGUAUUCUAUUUACCUGCUCUAGACCGUAUUAAUUGAUUCUACACAUGUACCUUGAUGGUGUUGUUCCAUGGAAAAAUUGCACCGGUCAUCAAACAUUGCAACACAACGCAGAAUUAAACAAGACAACUUGAAAUUGAUACUGGCCAAAUCGUUUAACUAAAUCCAAAAAUACAUCUAGAUCAUACAAACAAUGGAGGCAAAGAAAAACCAUGCAAUUUCAGAUCAACUAAGAAUCACUUCGUUUUGGUACAAUCAAAGUAUAGACCCAAGGAAUAUUACAAAAUAAUUUAUACUAAAAUUUUGUAUUCAUGUAGAAUUUGUUUUCAUCACAUGGUAGUCUAGACAAAUAUAACUUACUAAGUUCAUGUACCUUACCAUGUAACCAUCUAACUAAAUUAUCAGUGUAGUUUAUUUUUAUAUAAUAAUUGCAUUUUAAAUCACAACGUACAUUUGUGUUGUGCUUAAUUUAAAUUGUAUUUUGUAUUAUUUUUUGAAAUGUUAUCAACAAAUGCAUAAACUAUGUAGUAUGUUUUUGUUGUUGCUUUCUUUCUCUAUGGUGCCAGGGGUGAGU
rnacentral:lncRNA from 1 species